GGCGGCGUGGCCGAGUGGUUUAGGCAGGGGCCUGCAAAGCCCUUUACCCGGGUUCGAUUCCCGGCGCCGCCUCCA
rnacentral:tRNA from 1 species